UGAGCUGGUAGGACUGGGAGAAGAGAUGGGACAGGGCGGCUCCACUGACUGGAGGAGUGCCAACUGGUCUCAAACAGAGUACAAAUGAAUAAAAGAUGGGUCCUGUGAUAUGGGAUACAGCAGAUCUCCACAUCACCACAGAUCUGGGUUGGAGGAUCUGUCCCACAAGGAAACACUGACCAUCGCUCCAACCCUUUCAAACAGAGGAGACAACAUGAUACUGCAGCACUUAUCCCAGGACACAUGUAUGUACAUGCUGUCCCUGGCUGAGUCUGUGAUGUGAUACCAGGCUGUGGUUUCUAAUGAACAGCGGGGCUAAACCCUCAGGCUGCACUUCAACUUUAAAACAUCUCCCAAAGAAAAAACUGCAGCGGCAAAUGCUGACCUCACAGGAGCUUUACACUGUUGCUCUCCUCUGUUUUCAUCCCCCUCUCCCUCCCUCUUCCCCUUUGCCCCUCCUGCUAUCCCUUGGUAAUGUUUUCUGUAUCUCCCACAUGAUAAAAACUAAGACAGGGGAGGUAUGUACUGACUAAAGGCAGAGUGAUGUUCUCUUGGAUGGUUUGUGUAGUGUUGCUAAAGCGUUACCACACUUUUAGAGAUAUUAAGAGAUCCACGGGCAAGUAUCUAUCUCUCUAAAUAUGUAAAAGGCCAUUAUACUCCAUGACCUCCACCACGUGAGGUGUCACAGCCAUCAUUGCAGAAUCAAGUGUCUUAUUUUUAUAUUAGUAGAGGAGAGAAUAAUAAUAAUAAUAAUAAUAAUAAGCCAUUUAGCAGACGCUUUUAUCCAAAGCGACUUACAGAGAAGUGUGUGUGUGCGUGUGUGUGUGCGUGUGUGCGUGCGUGUGUAUUUGUUUGUUUGCUCUGAGUGUGAGUGGGCCUUGCUCUGCUCUGGCCAUACUCAUCUCUCUGUGUGUAAUGGAUCCCAGCAUUAUAUUUGCAUAAGGUAUGUAGAUGGAGGAGCAGUCAUUUUGAUCAUCCAGAAGACAACAUCAGAGUGAUGGACUACACUGAAAAAAAUAUAGGAUAUUAAAGGAGAAGUUUACCCAAAAUCCAGAAACUCCCAAGUGAUUCCAUACAUUGAAACUAGUUCAGUGGAGUUUGCCCUCUCUCUCCCUGGAUUGCAGAACUGAAACAGCUGCAAAAACGGGUCAUAUGACUCGUGACGUUGCAGGAUGCAGGCCUCACUCUGCUUCGUUGUCAGUGAAUGCAUGAUUCACAAAUCCACGAAUUCUGGACAAAUUCAUUGUUUUAUUGAAAGCGUAUGGCCGAAUUAGCUAUUUUUGUAAAAAGUACUGUUGUUUUUGAGUCAGGAAAUGUGUACUUAUUUUAUAUCAUUAUUUUAUGUAAUCGACUGCCACAGCAGCAGAGAUGGGUAAUAACUGCCCAUGUGCUCCCUCGUGGGAGAAACCCUGCACACAAUAUGCCCUUAUGUGGAGCUUGAUUUUGGUUCACAGUUUUAUUUUGUGGGAGAAGGAGCUGGUGCGAAAGUUGAUAGAGUUAGCCUAUCGCAGGUAAAGUUAGUAACGCACAGUGGAAAAAGAGAUGGUAGCAAGAGCAGGCUGGUGUUCGGUCCCUGGCUGCGCUUUAUACAGAUAAUCAAGUUUCACAGUUUUCUGGUAAAAGAUACAUAGAGAUGUAGAAGUUGGUUAAUAGCUAUUAGAAAUAGUAAAUGUGACGUACCAACUCCUGCAGCCAACCUUACAUCGCUGCGUGUCUGUAGCAAGCACUUCAGCUAGGAUAUAUAUGAAUGAGAUAUGCAAGCUGAAAACUGAAAACUGAACGAUACUAAAAGAUACAGCUGUUGCUACUGUAUUUCCAUGGACUGGUUCAGUGCCAAAAUACAAAGGCGUGUUUGAGGAGAGAAAGUGGAAAAACAAGCAUGCAGAGGUAUGUAGUAGGCUUGGGCGGUAUCCAGAUUUUCAUACUGUCAAACCAUUCUUCUGCCAUCCCAGGAUUUACGGUAUUACCGGCAUAGCACACAAUGGGUCGCUAAAAACACACAAAAAAACAUUGGGUGUCUAUUACCAGAAUGCUAAUAAAAUUAGCACAAGUAAUAGAGAAAUCGCAUGGACAAUAUUAGCUAAAUGCUAAAGAGCGAAUAUGAACAUAAACUAAUUUCAAAGACAGGCAAAUCCAGCUCAUAAAGUUAUACAAGCUUCCAAUUGGCUCAUUCAUUCCCCCUCCUCUCCCCUGUAACUAUU